CUAUAACCAAGGUCUUUCAUGUGGUAUUUCAACAUUUCUCACUUCAGCCUCUGAAAGAAAUGGAAAUAAACCUUGUCUAUGUUUAUUAUAGCCCUAGAAGGAAGGUUGGAUUUCAAGACUGUUCUUCCAGGAGAGUGAAAGGUCGAUCUAAGAGUGAAGAAAUAACAAAAGUUAUUCUCAUCCUCCUUCAGUUCUUCUUCACUCUGACCUCCUCGUUCCUAAUGGGGGUUUGUGGUGUUGGCGACAUGGCAUUCAUGCAGUGAAGAGCAGAAAAUGUGACUGCUGUCAGAAAGACUCUAGUAUCAAACUCUGUGGUGUCAGAGCUAAUGACAGGAUCUACUGACAAAGAAUAUUAUGUUGGUGGCUAUGUGAAAUAACGAAGAUUUCUCUUAGCUAAAGUUCACUCCUUGAAAAAGACAAUGAAGGCCGGGUGCGGUGGCUCACGCCUGUAAUCCCAGCACUUUGGGAGACCAAGGUGGCGGAUGACCUGAGGUUGAGAGUGCGAGAUCAGCCUGACCAACAUGGAUAAGCCCCGUAUCUACUAAAAAUACAAAAUAAGCAAGGCGUGGUAGCACAUGCCUUUAAUCCCAGCUACUCGGGAGGUUAAGGCAGAAGAAUCAGCGGUUCAGAAGAAUUGCUUGAACCCAGGAGGCGGAGGUUGCAGUGAACCAAGAUAGCACCAUUGCACUCCAGCCUGGGCAACAAGAGCGAAAUUCCGUCUCAAAAGAAAAAAAAGGAAAAGAAAAACAAGAAAAGAUAGUGAAAAUAAUAAUAAGUUAAUUGAUUCAAUUCAUGUAGCUAGUCACCACCUGAAUAUAUCACCAUGAAUUCCACUGACAUACAAAAUUUUGAAUUUGUUUACUGUUUUUUAUACCUUUAUUAAGGUAUAAUUGACAUAUAAUGAAAUGCAAAUAGUGAAAAUGCAGUUUGAUAAAAUGUUUCUUAUAUAUACAGCUUAAAAAAGAUAAUAUACUUAGAAGAUACAUCUUUUUUCCUGUAUCGAUCCAUCUAUUCAUUUAUUCCUAUCUUCAUUCAUUUAUUUACUAUCUAUUGAGCACUUCC
rnacentral:lncRNA from 1 species